AGCAACAUUGUUAGUUACAGGCUAUUAUAAACGUGUUCUAAAAUGGUUAUAUGAAUCCACAGCAAUGACAAAUUUCCAUAGUUACAACAAAAAACAAAUUCAGUACACUGUUAGAGACUGUUUACUGGCGCUGCCUAGGAAAUAUUUAGCAUACGAGAAGAGGAAGUGAAACAACACAGACGCGCUCACAACAGUUCUCAGAUAUAUUGAGAAAGAGAAGCAGUAAUUGUCCAUCAUGGGUCAUAAAAUAGUCAACUACACAGUCAACGAAUUCUGGAGCGGAUGGGACUUCGCCUCGCUGCUAGCUGCAGGAGCCGUAGUGGUUUUUGGGCUCGGCUUCAUAUUUAUAAUUUUCAUCCUCAGCAAAGAACUGAGAAGGAAUCAAUGGCUCAAAACAUUUCAACACUGGAUCAAAAACACACAGUGGACUCGAGAACUGAAAUCCCACAAGAGCUGCCCGAAAGCGGAUAAAAGAACCAAGGCAAUUUCCAAUACAAGAAGCAUCGUCGAGUCCACGGCUUUUCGAGCACCACCAAAAAGAUCCACAUCCAGCACGACAACCACUACCAGUAUACAACCCGACUCAUCCAUAUCAAGUGUAAGCAGCAACACAUGCAAACUGCAUGGAAGAAACCGAACAGCCAGGAGAAAUUACCUGUGCGAAAACUGCUCGGGCAAGUAAGGGCACGCGACAGGAGAGGGCAACCCCACGAGACACUGAAGAGCAAUUUCGGCACAGAUACCGACUUCCUAAGCGGAGCAACAGUGUGAUGGUGACUUCUGGUACAUCCUACAUCCAUGGACGUCCUGAAGGUACCAUUUGGCUACACGCGACAGAGACAAGCGACCGAGGCAGGCGACAGAGUUACGAGACCGAGACUGGUCGCUUCCUGUCUGCUCUCUGUACAAUCGUAUGAAGUACAAUUACGAG